AGCAGACGAGCGACCAGGAAAAUUAUAUGAAAUUGGAUUUGUUUUGUUUAAAUGGAAAAGUUGUGUUAUUUCGUCUGGGACAUAGACAGGAAGUGACAUCAACGGGUCAAAACUAAAAAUAUGUCGCAGGACAGACUGUCUGAGAUGUCCAGAACCUGGCUCGGGAGGGAUGCCUGAGCACAGGUUGUCUGUGUCUUCGCCUGACGAAUGCCGGUGAGACAUCUCUCGGACUGGGAGCACGCACUGGCGAGCUUGAUGACUCUUAAAGAUAUUCCACAGAGGACAAUGGCAUCUCGAUGGUCCAGUGACUUCUAAAAAGCCAUGUAGUCUUGUGUUGUCCAGAGGGGUCUGACCGAGAGGUGAUCAAUUUAAAGGCAGCUCAACAUGAUGAAGAGAAGAUACAACAUACUAGUGCAUAGCAUAAACUGCUCAUGCACAUAACAAUCUUGCAAGAUCAAGUAAGAAGGACUUGUAUUUACCUCUCUCUCUCUCUGCCUGUCUCUCUCUCUCUUUUCUCUUUCUCUCACUCUUUAUGUAUACAGUAUAUAUCUUAAAAUAUGUGCUUUGAGAUCGAUGGAUGCCAUUUUAACUCCAGUACAAUCUGGCGCAAUGUCCUGCGGAAUACUUCCUGUACCUCAUGAUAGUUUAGUAUAAGGCCACAUUUGAGUGUGACUACUUCUUUCUCUGUUGUCUUCGGUGAGGAAUGGACAGAUGCGCUGUCACCUAAACAUAUGAAUGAUGCACGUCUUGGUCAUAUGGUACAGAUUUACCAAAGGUAGCAGUGAUACUCGACCCUCAAUGUCGUUUUGACCUUUGUGGAUGAUGUAUGUGCCGCAUUUUAGAUAUUAAAACAGCAACACUCAUAUAUACUAUAUUGUCAUUCUGACAUAUUUGUCUGUCUAAUUACAUUUUUCAGUAUUGCUGUCCAUGUCCGUUUGAAUAUCAGAGAGCCUGUAAGAGAACAAGUGUAUGAUGUCCGCACUUCAUCAUAUCAUAAUCCAUCAUUAAAAGCUAAAGAAGAAUUGACUUGUCGCUUGUGUGGAAUACCCUGACUAGAAAUGUGACCACAGUAUGUACUGCUGUUACAACACACUACUACUUGGCAAGGGGCUAUUUUAGUCAUCUUGACUUUAUGGACAUACUCUGUGCUUGUGACUGUAUUUUACCCAUGUUUUGCAGCGCGGUAAUGUAACAAGCAAUGGUGUUUGUACAAACAGAAAACACAAUGAAACUACAUUUUUAUUGAUAUUUUGGGUAGGUUAAGAUAGGUGACAAUUCCAAUGUGGCGUUUGUGUAUUUUCUCUGUUGUGGUGUGAAAUAUCUGUUUCAAUGUGCAAGCUGUUCUGCAGAAUAUGUUCUUGAAAAAAUUGCAUCAGUACAUGGUUGCAUAAUAAUUAAGAUUUUGUCCAUGGUAGAUGUCAUUCUGUUUGUAAACUAUGGUUUAUAAUGUACCGGUAUGUUAUUUAUAUAAAGGAUGUUAACCUGUGUAAGUAGUUGCAAGCUAGAGUUUCUAAUUUGUUCAUGAAAAUUGUGUUCCCUGCUCUGCAUUUCAUUAAAAUGCAGUAUUCCACAUUUUAAAUUGUUGUCUUUGACACCAAACCAAACAAAGUGAAUA